UUGGAACAUGUGUAUGUGACUAAAAGC
rnacentral:misc_RNA from 1 species